UUUAAGAAUCAGUGUUCCACAUAUUUAUGAGCAAAUUUUCCAAAUAAUAAUCUUAUUUGCCCAUUAUUUGGUUAAAUUAUUAAUAAUGUACCAGUAUUUUUCAACCUUGAACUGAACAGUUCUAUCGGGGCCCUUGCCUGGUAUGGGUUUGGACUAGGGAACAUCGAAAGGAGGACUCAUGUAGGAAAGUGUUGGGAAGGCAGCAGCAGAACAGUGUGACAGUUAGCUGACGCUAAUACAGAUUGGGAUGUUGGAGUUUGGAGUUCACUUCUAACGUGGUCUGUAAGGAGUUCAAACAUUCUUCCCAUGAAUGCGUGGGUUUCUUCUGAGUGCCCUGAUGUGCUCCCACAGUUUGAAGACAUACAGAGAUACAGCAUGGUUACUGGGCCAUUCCAGCCCAGUGAGCCUUCACCACCCAACUACACAAAUGUGACCAAUUAACCUACAAACCUGUACGUCUUCGGAUGUGGGAGGAAACCGGAGCACCCAGAGGAAACCCACACAGUCACUGGAGGAACGUAUAAACUCCGUACAGACAGCAGUGGAAUUGAACCCAGGUCCCUACCGGUGUAAUAAUGUUCCACCAACCGCUACACUACUGUGCCCAUUUUUAAGAAGGUUUAAAAAGAUCAACGUUGUUUGAAAGUGUUAAUGAAGAUUAAUCUAUAACAGAUCCCUAUCAAGAAAAUCAGCUAUGUGGACCAACUAUUACUCAGAGCAGGAAAUGUUUACUCAGCCUGAAAACUGCACGGCAUGUUAACAAAAUACUAUAUAAGAGAAAAUUCUAGCUGCGUAGCACCAAAGGCAAUGUGCAAAGAAGUAUUUCAGUCAUUGCGUGGCCAUGCACUCGCACUGCUUAGAGGGAAUCGUAUUGUUAACUCUAUCUUUGAACAGAAGCCUAACAUUAUAAUAGGUAAUGUUGCAGCUAUAUAGGACCCUGGUCAGACCCCACUUGGAGUACUGUGCUCAGUUCUGGUCGACUCACUACAGGAAGGAUUUGGAAGCCAUAGAAAGUGUGCAGAGGAGAUUUACAAGGAUGUUGCCUGGAUUGGGGAGCAUGCCUUAUGAGAAUAGCUCGGCUCUUUCUCCUUGGAGUGACAGAGGAUGAGAGGUGACCUGAUAGAGGUGUACAAGAUGAUGAGAGGCAUUUUUCCCAGGGCUGAAAUGGCCAGCAUGAGAGGGCAUAGUUUUAAGGUGCUUGGAAGUAGGUACAGCGGAGAUGUCAGGGGUAAGUUUUUUACUCCAGGGGUAUGUUUCUAUUAAAUCUCUGCCCCUCCCCCCAGUUUUAAGCUCCUCCACCCUGUAGAGAAGACUGCCAACAUUCAGCUUAUCCAUAUCCCCAAAGAAGAUGACUUAAGGUUUAGGAAGAAACAAUCAGACAGGGCUCUCGAGAGUUCACCAGGAAAGAGAUGAAGAAUGGACUUAGAAGAGCUAGAAGGGGACAUGAGAAGGUCUUGGCGUGUAGGAUUACGGCAAACCUAAAUGCGUCCUGUGCAUUCAUUUGUAGAACAAAGGAAGCUGCUCAGAAAUGAUUUAGUUUAAUUAACAGAUUACAAAGGAAAGGUGAAGGCUUGAGCAGCAAAUCAAUGUUCACUGACCAAGGAUCAGCUUUAUUCACCACAGACAGUUACAAGUAUCAGAAGUUUGCUGUGACGUGUUGACGCAGCAUGCAACAAAAACAAACAGCAUUCAACAAUUAUACAAAAUAAAGCUUAUAUACAAAUAAAGUUAAAACUACAGCAAUGGGAUAAAUGUACAUAAGUACAUAAAUACCAGCAUGUAUUUACAAUGUGAAAAGCAUUAUAAAAUGUGCUUUAAAGUUUUUAUAAUUCAGUGUAGUGGCUGAGAUAAUAGAUAGACGGAAAUGGGGGGGGGGGGGGGGGCGGUGCUAACUGGAAUGGUUGAUCAGAUUAACUGCCCUGAGGGAAGAAACUUUUAAGAUGGCAUGAAGUUUUCUGUUUUAAUAACUUCAUAGUAAUUUCUAGAAAGAGCUUUUCAAAAAGGCAGCUUGCAGAUGUGCUGACUCAGGGCAAAGGUGGGCAACAGUACAGAAGUACAAAUUGGCAGUGAUUGCAUUGGCACAGAAUCAUAGCCCAGGCUCACAAAGCGACUUUUUAUCUCUUCCAGAAAGUUGCCAUGGAGAGGGAUGGAAUUAGUAGCUUGGGAAAGGAAACUGUGAUCAGAAGCCAAGGCAAUGGCUUAGAUCUUCAAGUAUUUAGACUGGAAAGGUUCCUACUUACUUAUCACUGAGAUCUGAUCAUUACCAUUAUGCACUGUGACAUGGCCAAUCAUGGUCUUUCCAUGACCAUGACUGUCCUUGGGAAAUUUUUCUACAAAGAAAAUGAAUCUCAGAGCUGUUUAUCGUGACAUAUAUAUCAUCAUCAUCAUUAAGUGCCGUGUUGUUUGACGUAGGCCAUCAUGGCCCAUGACCAUGGUUGCUGAUGGCAAAUUUUUCUAAAGAAGUGGUUUGCCAUUGCCUUCUUUACAAGACGGGUGACACCAGCCAUUAUCAAUACUCUUCAGAGAUUGUCCGCCUGGCAUCAGUGGUCGCAUAACCAGGGCUUGUGAUAAGCACCAGCUGCUCAUACAACCAUCUGCCUCCUGCUCCCAUGGUUUCAUGUGACCUUGAUCAGAGAUGCUAAACCGGUGCUACACCUUGCCCAAGGGAAAACGGAGGCUAUCUGUGGUGAACUAUGUGCCUGUCUGGACACGCCCCCUGCUGACUGCUCCUGUGGCUCCUCCCACAGGCCCCUGUAUAAAGGAGACCUGCGGCCUGACGCUCGGCCUCAGUCUCCAGGACGUAGUAUGAUAGACACUCACUCCUGGUUCCUUCUUCCAGUCAAUAAAAGCCGAUAUCUCGCCUUACGUAUCAGUGUGAGUUAUUGAUGGUGCAUCACUAUCGAAGGGAGGGAGUGCCUUACACCUCCUUUGAUUGAAACAUAUCCCCACCCCAUCAACCAAUGAAUGUUUGAUAAGCAGUCUAAAACUCAGUCAGUUCCAUCAUGGGCACUAGCCUCCCCACC